GAUGAACGCUGGCGGCGUGCCUAAUACAUGCAAGUCGAGCGAACGGACGAGAAGCUUGCUUCUCUGAUGUUAGCGGCGGACGGGUGAGUAACACGUGGAUAACCUACCUAUAAGACUGGGGUAACUUCGGGAAACCGGAGCUAAUACCGGAUAAUAUUUUGAACCGCAUGGUUCAAAAGUGAAAGACGGUCUUGCUGUCACUUAUAGAUGGAUCCGCGCUGCAUUAGCUAGUUGGUAAGGUAACGGCUUACCAAGGCAACGAUGCAUAGCCGACCUGAGAGGGUGAUCGGCCACACUGGAACUGAGACACGGUCCAGACUCCUACGGGAGGCAGCAGUAGGGAAUCUUCCGCAAUGGGCGAAAGCCUGACGGAGCAACGCCGCGUGAGUGAUGAAGGUCCUCGGAUCGUAAAACUCUGUUAUUAGGGAAGAACAUAUGUGUAAGUAACUGUGCACAUCUUGACGGUACCUAAUCAGAAAGCCACGGCUAACUACGUG
rnacentral:rRNA from 1 species